AAGUCGUAACAAGGUUUCCGUAGGUGAACCUGCGGAAGGAUCAUUAACACGUAUCCAACGUUAAACCCCCCUGUGAACCUUCAGAAGUCCGUUCUCGUAACACCAGUGCGCCUCAGCAAUCCCGGUAAAUCAUUGUCGACCAGUAUUGAUUCGGGACCUCUGACAAAUGCCUUACGAUCGAGCUGUACAGUGACAUGGCUUCCAGUGAAUGAAAGUGUCACCGGAUAACGCCUCACGAUAUAGGGUCCUUUGAGAUCCCUUCGAAACCCCACUACUUUAUAGUUCGGGCUUGCUAAAUACACGCCCAAAAAAACGAACAACUGUUAACAAUGGAUAUCUUGGUUCUC
rnacentral:misc_RNA from 1 species